UGAAGUUGGCUUCAGGCUCGUAUCGGACUCCGUUCCUAGCGGUCCAAUAGCUCGUUUCGACCGGUUCAGCUGUUCUGGAACUAAUGGCGCUGACGGAUUUUGAGUUCGACGCACGGAUUUCGAGAAAAUCCAAAAAUACAUAUUCUAUAUGUAUUUAGGUGUGUUUUCUUCUAUUGGUAGAAGGGUUGGAUUUUGUCGUGAAUCCGUGGUCGAUCGAGACGAAACGAGAUCGUACCUUUGUUGUCUCCGUCGUGCUGAUCGCACUGGUGCGAUCCGUUCGCAAAUCUGACGGACGGAUCUGCGGCAAUUGCAUGUUGUUCGAAGAGAGGUCGGUUGUGGCAAAACGGUAUUUUCGCAAAAGUCGCAAUAUUUUAUGUACCGUUUCGCGUGGGAUCGCACGUAGAGGGGUGUUCGCGUGUCUUACACACG
rnacentral:lncRNA from 1 species